AUCGCGUCCUCUGCUCCCUUGUUCUGCAAUUAAAACAGUUUUUAUGUGCUGUUAACAUAUCAUAAUCUAUUUCAAACCGCCUUCAAACGCAACUUGAGCCCGGAGACGUUCACACCACUUGUUAACAAGACGCCCGUGACCAUUGUCGUUGUGUAUGUUCAGCUACGUAGAUUCAUUCUGCCUGUUGAAGAUUUUAGGUUGUAAUUUUGGAAAAUCUCUGGCUCCAUCUUCUUCUCACGGAUCCCAGGUUCUCCAGCGGGCCGAGUUAAAUCACACAGAAAACGAGUGUAGACAUCUCAGAAUUAGAGUUUAAUCCAAAGAAGACUCGUAUGAAAUUACAACAGAAACUGCAGAACAGAGACAUGCAUUAAUUUACCUGAGUCGAAUGGAAAGAAGGAAGAAAGAAGCAAAGACGUGCUUGGACGUCUUUGGAGAAUUACAAGAGCAAAUCCGAGUAGUUACUGCUGUGUACAAAGUUUUAUAGUAAAGGCGUAUUCUAGACUUUUAUUUAUUCUAAUAAGGCGUAGCUUUGCUCAUCCAACCAGGAGUUGUCUCUGAUCCUCUUUAGAGUUAGACACUCCCUGCAAUUUGUUUUCAAGAUCAAGCUCAAACUGCCACCUUUAUCUAAACAAGUGGAAGCAGAGCUUCUCCUCUACUGGCCUGGACUCCUGCUGUUUCAAGGCUUUUCACAGAUCAGUGUGAAAGCUGGAACUUCUCCUGAUUUCCCACACAAAGGGCAGUUCAAAAGAUCUCGGCAAACAAUCUACUUUAUCUAUAGGUGACAUAAAGAUUAACAGGACAGAACAAGUUAUUAAUCUGAGAACUAUAAUUAGGCUUUCCAAUAAAGACAUGGCAAGUUUUUAAAACUAGCAUAUUUUAAAUUUACUCCUUAUCAUGACCUAAACAGUCAGUUCAAUCAGCUAAUCUCGUCUGGAGCAGGGGUUCGCGUCUCGGCUGGCCUUCUCAUACCGCGGCAUGAGGC